UCAACAAGCCGGCUUGUCGCUCCCGCAUGGGGGAGGAAAGUCGGGACAACACAGAGCACCAUACUUCCUAACGGGAAGGCACCAAUUUUUUGGUGACAGAAAGUGCCGCAGAAAAUAACUACCGAUGUCGGGGUAAAGGCAAGCCUGCCUCCGCUUUUGCUCCGGCAGGUAAAGGUGAAAACGUGGGGUAAGAGCCCACGCGAUAUGAUGGCGACAUUGUAUUGGGGUAAACCUUAUGGGUUGCAAGGUCAAAUAUGCCGGUGCUUGAGGGCUGCUCGUCCGAUACCGGUGGGUAGACUGCUAGAGUUAUACAGCGAUGUAUAACCCAGAUAAAUGACAGGCACUUCACUGAUCGAUUUCGGUGGAGAACAGAAUCCCGCUUACAGGCUUGUUGAACGU
rnacentral:RNase_P_RNA from 1 species